AUAUGUAAGUACGUAUAUCGAUUAAUCGAAAUAUCGUAUAUAUUGAUAAUGUAGGAGAAAAUAAAAAUUUGGAAAUUUAUUUAAAUUUUGUUUCCGAUGCAAAAAGCUAACAUUUCAUGGGAUAUAUCGAUCGGUACUUGAAAAUAAGAUUUGAAAGUACAACACGGAAGGAUUAUUGCGCUCAUCGCGUUCAAAGUGAUUGUAAGUAGUAGUACAUAUAUCGUUCGAUUUGGAUCGAAUGUCUGCAUUCCCCACGCUUGUUCCUGCAUCUCUAGAAAUAGGACACUUUCAGCGAUUUCCUCGACCACUUAUAUUGUCAUCUCAACACCUAAAGAAUACAAUCUACCGCAGUGCAGUGUGGAGAUACUUGAAAUAUCUUUCCAGAACAACUUUGAAACUAGAGAAAGUUUCAUAGUUAUCGAACUGUUAUUCUGUUACCCUAAAUGUGCGGGCCGAUAGGUCCGCUCUAAAGUAAACAUCUGGUAUCAAUCAGCAACACCAGAGCAGAUGCACCCACGAGGGUACUUAAGUACAAGAUUGGAAAGAAUAGAUUCCCACCUCGUGAAAACCAUGGUGACGAGGACAACCCUCAGGAUCAGUUGCAACCUGACUGAUCGUCACCUAGUUGAGAAUUCGCAACACUGUUGAUGAAAUUCCAAUAUUACGUUCAAAGACUUUCAUGAGUCACUGUACAUUGUACACGUUAUCAAUGGUAAAAAAAAAAAAAAACAGAUUCUUUGGUGUACAUGUUGUGUAUUCAUCGCUACGGGCAAUCUGUGGUACACAGGAUGUUAACAAUCAUAGUAAUCAUCCAGUAACAUUAGAUGGAAGGGAAGGCGAGGAGAUGAUGAAGGGAAUGACAAUAGACGCUUUGGUGAAAAAAGGGUGCGUGAAAAGGAAAGAAGAGGGAUUGCGACGAAGAUAUCAAGAUCGAGAGUGAGGACUGCGACUGAAGUCCUGGUGACCUCGAAAACAAGACGGCCUCGCGACCGGAGACUCCAGAGGAUCGAUAUUCGCACCGCCAUUCGUGGACACGUCCAACUCUAUGCAGAUGUCACUCGGCCAGUACCGCUUCCGUCUCUACGGCAGAGCUCGAUGAAAAUCAAGCUAAAGUCGAAUUUACACCUUUUCACUUUGGAUGGUCAUCACGGAUGAUUCAUCGAAAAACAUGUUUUCAUCUGCGUUUCAUCCAGAGUGACUAGUGAAUAGAGUAAAAUCAAUCUCUGCUCUUGAUUCCUUGAAUGGAUGAUUCAUUCGUAGUGAGACGAUUCGGACGAGUUUAAUUAUAUUUUAUAAUGUGCGUGCAUGCUGUUAUAAGUACGGUUAUACUAAAUGCAUAUUUAGACCGCAUUUCUAUGACACAUAUCGCAUGAAAUGAAUAUGGAUUUGGCCGAUUGUUACCAUUUCCUGGGCAGUCCUUUAUUACAAAUUUUAAUAACAAAUAAGAGAAUGGAACAGGAGAAUAAGACGUAUUUUUUAAGAGAGGAGAAUAGAGAAGACUAUACUUCGUUUCAAGAUCUAUCAUUCUACUGGAUCAACCUAGAGAAGAAUAUUUCAGUUAUCUGUAUAGAUACUACUGCUUUUAUCUUUCACAUUCACUAUAAAAAAAUUAUCUGUGAUGAUCAUCCAAAGUGAAAAGAUCUAAAUUCGGCAUAACCGGAAAAUCAAUCGUUCGAGGUGCAAGCAGCAAACGGCAUGAAUAAAGCCGGAAAGAAACAUCUCGAUUUUGAGAAAGGCGGUCUACAUCGAGCGAACGUUAUGUCGAGACGGCGUACCGCGUAACCAGGUGAACAGAUCGGCAAA